rnacentral:rRNA from 1 species
UAGUCCACGCCGUAAACGAUGAGCACUAGCUAUGAGGGCAGUUAUGUCUUCGUGGCGCAGCUAACGCAUUAAGUGCUCCGCCUGGGGAGUACGGUCGCAAGACUAAAACUCAAAGGAAUUGACGGGGGCCCGCACAAGCGGUGGAUUAUGUGGUUUAAUUCGAAGCAACGCGCAAAACCUUACCUAGGUUUGAAAUCCUGAGAACCUGACCGAAACGUCGGGGUGCCCUUCGGGGAAUUCAGUGACAGGCGCUGCAUGGCUGUCGUCAGCUCGUGUUGUGAAAUGUUGGGUUAAGUCUCGCAACGAGCGGAACCCCUGUCCUUAGUUGCCAGCAUUAAGUUGGGCACUCUAGGGAGACCGCCGGGGUUAACCCGGAGGAAGGUGGGGAUGACGUCAAGUCCUCAUGGCCCUUAUACCUAGGGCUACACACGUAAUACAAUGGAAGAUACAAAGGGAUGCAACCUCGCGAGAGUAAGCUAAUCUCAAAAAAUCUUUACUCAGUCCGGAUUGAAGUCUGCAACUCGACUUCA